GACAGCAAGGAGGGCGUCCACAGUUGUCGUGCCCCCGCUCCCGCACAUCGCGCCGCCCCAUCUUCCCCGACUGUCGUCCCGCCGCAGAAAUCUCGCCCGCCCCUCCCCCCUCGCCCGCACGUGGACCCGCCUCUCCUCGCCGUGAUCUCCACUUCUAGCAAUGACGUCCGCGCAAUCCACUCCCCCCGAUCUGUCUCACCUCCAUGGAAGUAUUCGAUCUGCCGCUCCCAAAUCUCUCCCUGGAAUGUCGAUCCGCGUGAUCCACUCCCCCGAUCUGCCUCACCUACAUGAAGUACCCGAUUUGUCGCUCCCAAUCUCUGCAUCGCGUGGACGCCUUCCAUGGAGUCUCUGUACGUAUGCGCGAUUUACUCCCCCUCCCCCCGAUCUGCCGCUCCCAAUAUCUCCCUGGAAGACCGAUCUGCAUGGUGUGGACGCUCCAUGGAGUCCCCACCCCGCAACCCCGCUCCGUGCUGUGCGGCGACGCGAUCCUUGCCGACCUUCGCGAGCCAGCGCCGCGCCGGCUCAUGGAGUGGGACAUCUAGCAGCCGAAGAAGAAGUUCAAGAGGGGCGGCAGACGCUCGUUCGCUGCGUAAGACGAUGAGGACUUCAAAGCCGACUCCAGCGAUUUGGAUUUGGAGCUCACAGAAGGGGCUGACUCCAGAAGGGCUUUCUCCAGAGGUAUUAGCUCAAGCUUAUUUUCUAUGGUGGUAUACGUAUUUUUGCGUUUGAUUGUUGCAGACGAUUAGAAUCUACGAGUUGGUUGGGGUGCCGCCGCCGCCGCAGGGAACCCCUCGCUGGCGGGUCUGGUCGAGUCCGGUGCGCUUGUACGCGUAUCGUGGCGGCAGUUUGGCCCUGUCCCGGCGUGGUGGCGGCAGUUUGGCCCUGUCCCGGCGUGGUGGCCGCUAAACUUCAUGGAGCUCGAGGACGUGUGGAUCCUCGGCACCUCGCACCUCUCCGCGUCCUCCACACCGUCAAAGGAAAAGAUCAUCGUGGCCCCCUCAUUGAAGAGCCUCCAUCUCUGCCUGUGCCAUUACGUCACUAAUCAAGGUUUUGCAGAGGCAGUUAAUUGCUUCCCUCAGCUCGAGGAGCUAGACAUUACAUUCUGCUCAUUGUAUGGCAUCGUGUGUGAGACUGCUGGGAGAGCCUGCCCGACAACGUCGUCGUCUAGCUCUGCCGGAGCAGGCAAGGACGUGUAUCCCCUUAAAUGUUAUGCCGCUUAAACAAAUGCUGUCAAAUCUUCUUCCGGGAGCGGGGCUAACAAACCACGUUGCAGAGCCCUCACUUCGGAGCUGGAAUCAUGUACUCGUCCAGUGCCAACGAGCCGCUUUUGAAGUCCAACAUGUUCUCUCUCGGUGGCUCCAAGUUCUUAGGCGCAAUCAACAGAAGCAUCAACUUGGGUGGGCAGAGCGCUCUUGCUCUCCGUCUGCUCCGCGUUGUUUUUCCUUCUAAAAUUUCUACCAGUGCGAACUAUCCGUUUGGAGGAGAGUUCCGAGCAACUAGGAGAGUUUCUGAAGAUAUUGGAAGUACAACACAAAAAGGUCAGAACCACUUUUCAAUCUAACCAGAUGUUUAUAUGUUUGGUGGUGAAGCUACAAAAAUUCUAGACUAUGUGGAAUAUUUCCCAAAUUGAGUUGGUAAUGGAAAGUAAAGGACUGCAGAAUGUGCCGCUUCUGGUCUUGAAGGUUUCCAACAUGGUUCGUCAAUGGAAAGGUAGUAUCGGCUUGCGAAAUAUAUUCCUAAGCCUACAGAAUGUAAGCUAAAAUCACGUGCUCACUGUGUACAUUUUUUUCUGGUAACAACAACUUUUUCUGAAAAGAAUGAACAUCCUAAAUCCUUACUCUCUGUAGAUAAGAAGCAUCUAGAAUAAAAGAUAUCCAAUGCCUUUACUGUUUGUACGGUAGAUUUUUCUUUGUCAUAUAUCAUAGUUACCUCUUGAAGUACAUUUCAUCAAGUUGUAGUUAGCCCUUGAUGUACAUUUCAGCUUUGAUGUAUACUAGCACAAAACAGAAAGAAUCAUUAUGGUCGAACUACUACUAUAAUGAGAAUUUCACAUGCUACUGCUAGAUUAUCUUGUAUGCAUGGUUCUUGAGCAUAGUCACAUUAUUUCUAAAACUAAUUCUGGAGAGUAUGUUUAUGUGGAGUUAGAAAAAGUAAUAUACAAAUACAUAUUAUUCUAUAGCAGCUUUAUAGGUAUAAAAAAUUCCGUAUGUUACUUCUGGUACAGACAUUUUUUCUAUAUAAUUGAACAAGCACACCUGUAACUGAAUCCGUUUUGCAACUCCAAACUAAAACUGGAAUGCAUAAUAAUUGCAUAUACAACAACAAAUAUGUUAUGAUAUAUAGGAAUCCAGAUUCCCUGUGCAAUGUAAUAACAUCAUUAAGGCCUUGUAACAGUCAGGAUAGCAUCUGAGUAGUUUAAGUGUUGUCGGCCUAUGUGCUCUAGACGAGAAUUUUUGCUUUGUCAUAUAACAAAUUCUAGGAACUUUUUUUUGCAAAAUUAUAACCAUUUAUCACUUAUCAGGAUGUUGUGUUGACACUAAACAUUCUCGCCUUUCUUGGUAAUAGUGUCCACUUAAGUUAGACGAACUGCCACCAUUCUUUCCACUGCUCUGUUUCAACUUCCUCGCAAAAAACAUAGCGACCUGCAUGUGCGUUUUUUGCCAUGAUCUCAGUUCUCUUUAGCUCCGUCUUCCCCCUUCUUGAUCUCAGCUUCAACCCUUAUCUUUUGUCUCCCUGUCCAUCUCCAUCCCGGUGUGAUCAACUUUCAAGAAGCAGUUGGGACUGGACCUUAAUUUUUGCAUGUCUAGAGGAAAUUGCCGGUUUGGUUCGUAUUGUGUAAGAAUUUGAGAUUUUGAGUUAGAUUAUAAUAAUUAAUAUGUGGUGUUCAUUUUUAUAUAAUUUAUUGAAACCGUACAUAGCGAUAUCGACCUUGUACUUCUACCAGAGUGGCUGAAGGCACUCGUGGCCCAUGGGCUCCUCAGUCGUUCCUUCGUCGGUGUAGAAGGUGGCUGACGAGUAACCCAGGACACGGUGCGCGAGGAAGAUAAGCCAUGGUUGUUUCUGCCGAUCAACAGAUGACAGGCAGUGCUCGAUGAACCUGUACUGCUCCGUUCCUGGCCUCCAGUCCAACUCGGUAUUGGCUUACGCAGAAACGGAACAUCCCGUAGUCCGUUGAGUACCUAGAAUUAUAAGCUGAUGUUCAAUGAGAGCUUCUUACAGAAAAAAGGUGUCAUGAGUAGUGAAAUUUCAGCCAUCUCAGCUUCAUCAAACACCAUAAAAGGUUGUUAAUGUCCUCUUUUGCCUGUCUAUUAUUUAUUUUAGUUGAACCAGAAAUAUCUUUGUAUUUGACCACGUAUAUAAGCAGUAGCUUCAUGUUUUAUUUCAUACCAGAACUGCUCACGGUUUUCUGCUGGCACGUAGAACAUAUUCUGAGCUGGUACCCCGCAUUCACCACCUGAAUCAAGAUUUCCAUAGAAAGAUCCUGAUCCAGGCCAAUCUCUUUUGUGGCUACCACUGCAACCACAAAUUAGUAGCAUCAGAAACAUAUAAAAACUGUAUCGUUUUAUUACUUGAUCUAUUGUCGAAUUGGAAUCCUGGAGAACCUCCCAACCAUGUAAAGCACAGUAGAAGCAAUGGGCUCAACCUGUGCAGUGAAUUGGUCGCAUUGUGAAAGAUAGCCAUUGGCAUAUGAGCUGGUUUGUUGUGUUAAGUGAACCAGGCUCAAAGUCAUUGGACUCAUUUGAACCAUCAACCUCAGUCCGUUGAGAUGACUAUAAUGUGGUGUGGUGUGACCCAUGAUUGACAUAAAUUAAGAAGAUUUGGUGGGCUUGGCUUGAUGACAACAUUGUUUUUUUGUGUCUGUACACGAUGGCAGCAGUGCUUUCGCCUUAUGUGUGCUGCUCUUCAGGUCUCUAUGGAUGACAUCGCCCCCUCUCCCGCUAUUAUUAAUUUAAUUUGUAGCGAGACUGACAUGAUGAUGAUAAGAUGACGGAUCGCCAUGUCAACAUGGGAUGCUCAUCAUCGAAUGAUUUUAUCUAUAAUUUGCGAUGUGUUUUGUGAGAUGAGUCGGGCGAUGGAAGUUGGUCAACAUGCACCAGAGGUCGAGGCUGCUGAAGCAUCAGAUGAAGAUGUUGAGGCCUACAUCGGCAAAGCCACCGGUGGUGUGCUGAUUUAUCUAUUACUUUUCUUAAACAACAUAUAUAGAAAUUGUCCCACUCCUGUUUACUACACAAAGAUGUUAAGUGUAUUGCAACACAAUAAAUGUUUUUAUGACUAAGUUUUUAAUCCAAAAUAUUCCGAGUUUAGUUAUGUAUUGGUUAUUAUUACUCCAGUCCAAUCAUGGUUAUUACCUGUUUAUAUAUCUGCCAGGAUAUUUACUCCUUUGGUGAACGCAGAGAUGAAUUGAGACAAUAAUGGAAUGGUGACCUUCAAGGAAUUCCUUUUUGCUUUUACUCAACCGAAGAUUAGGCGUUCUGAAUCGAUCGAGCCAGCCCCUCAGGAGGCCUCCAGCAGCUCCCUCCUGUCGUGCCUCGGAAGUAGUAGCUCAUGUUCUAUAUGUGGCGAGCUGAUGGUAGAAAUUACCAGGUUCAUUCUCUUCUGUGAUAUGUGAAGCUCGAGUGAAAAGAAAAAUUAUGUGAUGAGAACAUAGCAGCUGAAGUUGGAAUAUAUUGAGAUGUCUAUAAUGUGGUGUGGUGUGACCCAUGAUUGACAGAUUAAGAAGAUUUGGUGGGCUUGGCUUGAUGACAGGCGACAGCAUUGUUUUUUUGGAUGAGUCGGGCGAUGGAAGUUGGUCAGCAUGCACCAGAGGUUGAGGCUGCUGAAGUAUCAGAUGAAGAUGUUGAGGCCUACAUCGGCAAAGCCACCGGUGUUGUGCUGAUUUAUCUAUUACUUUUCUUAAACAACAUAUAUAGAAAUUGUCUCACUCCUGUUUACUACACAAAGAUGUUCAGUAUAUUGCAACACAAUCAAUGUUUUUAUGACUAAGUUUUUAAUCCAAAAUAUCCCGAGUUUAGUUA